AUUGAACGCUGGCGGCAGGCCUAACACAUGCAAGUCGAACGGCAGCACAGAAGAGCUUGCUCUUUGGGUGGCGAGUGGCGGACGGGUGAGUAAUGUCUAGGAAACUGCCCGAUGGAGGGGGAUAACUACUGGAAACGGUAGCUAAUACCGCAUAACGUCGCAAGACCAAAGUGGGGGACCUUCGGGCCUCACACCAUCGGAUGUGCCCAGAUGGGAUUAGCUAGUAGGUGGGGUAAUGGCUCACCUAGGCGACGAUCCCUAGCUGGUCUGAGAGGAUGGCCAGCCACACUGGAACUGAGACACGGUCCAGACUCCUACGGGAGGCAGCAGUGGGGAAUAUUGCACAAUGGGCGCAAGCCUGAUGCAGCCAUGCCGCGUGUAUGAAGAAGGCCUUCGGGUUGUAAAGUACUUUCAGCGGGGAGGAAGGCGGUGAGGUUAAUAACCUUGCCGAUUGACGUUACCCGCAGAAGAAGCACCGGCUAACUCCGUGCCAGCCGCCGCAGUAAAAC
rnacentral:rRNA from 1 species